GCCCUACGUCAUUCCAGUGCUGUGAAAGGGGCCUGCGGGGGCUCAGUCUAUACUGCUAUCUGGGCAGGUUGCUGUCCAGGAAGGUUUCAUCUCAAAGAAAUCUCAGAGAGGCUGGAAAGAGUGGCAGGUAUUUUGGAAGAAGGGGAAGCAUUCUGCAGGAAUUCCAGAUGGAAGGAACACCAUGUGCAAAGCCACAGACUCAUAAGGCCAGGCAGGCUUGGAGACCGAUAUUGGGGGUGGUUUUUCUUUAUGACAAACUGAAGGUUUGUGGCAACCUUACAUUGGUGCCCCAAGGUAACAAUGAUGAAACCCCCAAGACCCAUGGUUCUAGAAACACUGGUUGAAGACAUGCUCAGCAAGAGAUAAGCAGAUUGAGCAUGGCCAGCUGGGUCUUGGCUAGGACUCCUGUAAGUGUGAUCUAUGGACCAGCACUGUUCUGCAAUCUCUAUCAGCCCGUGACAAGGUGGAGAGGCAGGAAUCCUGACCCCUGCUUAACAACAGCAGGGAUUCCCAUCUCUCCAAGGACAUAGUCCUCAAGCCUUUGAAGAGGUGGAAGUUCCCUUGUUCCUGGGUCCCACCAAGGCAGGUAGACAUCAUCACCAUCCUGGCUCCAGGGGCAGCAGAGACCAGUGAGGGGUGGGGACCUGAGGGUCUGGAACCACUGCCAAGAGUGAAUUGGCAUGCCCCAGACAGCUCCAUCAAGUAAUAGUGCUCCCCAACUACAAACAAAGGCUGACAUAUAAAAUGCAAACACCAAGAGGGCACUGUGGCUCAUGCCUGUAAU